UACGAAGGUGGCAAGCGUUGUUCGGAUUUACUGGGCGUACAGGGAGCGUAGGCGGUUGGAUAAGCCCUCCGUGAAAUCUCCAGGCUUAACCUGGAAAGUGCAGAGGGGACUGUUCAGCUAGAGGAUGGGAGAGGAGCGCGGAAUUCCCGGUGUAGCGGUGAAAUGCGUAGAGAUCGGGAGGAAGGCCGGUGGCGAAGGCGGCGCUCUGGACCAUUUCUGACGCUGAGGCUCGAAAGCGUGGGGAGCAAACAGG
rnacentral:rRNA from 1 species